rnacentral:misc_RNA from 1 species
GAUGAAGAACGCAGCGAAAUGCGAUAAGUAAUGUGAAUUCCAGAAUUCAGUGAAUCAUCGAAUCUUUGAACGCACAUUGCGCCCCCUGGUAUUCCGGGGGGCAUGCCUGUUCGAGCGUCAUUUCACCACUCAAGCCUCGCUUGGUAUUGGGCAACGCGGUCCGCCGCGUGCCUCAAAUCGACCGGCUGGGUCUUCUGUCCCCUAAGCGUUGUGGAAACUAUUCGCUAAAGGGUGUUCGGGAGGCUACGCCGUAAAACAACCCCAUUUCUAAGGUUGACCUCGGAUCAGGUAGGGAUACCCGCUGAACUUAAGCAUAUCAAUAAGCGGAGGA